rnacentral:rRNA from 1 species
UUUGGGAGCUUGCUCACUGGGUGACGAGCGGCGGACGGGUGAGUAAUGUCUGGGAAACUGCCUGAUGGAGGGGGAUAACUACUGGAAACGGUAGCUAAUACCGCAUAACGUCGCAAGACCAAAGAGGGGGACCUUCGGGCCUCUUGCCAUCAGAUGUGCCCAGAUGGGAUUAGCUAGUAGGUGGGGUAAUGGCUCACCUAGGCGACGAUCCCUAGCUGGUCUGAGAGGAUGACCAGCCACACUGGAACUGAGACACGGUCCAGACUCCUACGGGAGGCAGCAGUGGGGAAUAUUGCACAAUGGGCGCAAGCCUGAUGCAGCCAUGCCGCGUGUGUGAAGAAGGCCUUCGGGUUUAAAGCACUUCAGCGAGAGAAGGUGUAGCUGAACGAGAAGGGGA